rnacentral:rRNA from 1 species
GAUCCGGCUCAGGAUGAACGCUGGCGGCGUGCUUAACACAUGCAAGUCGAGCGAAGCACAUAAGUUUGAUUCUUCGGAUGAAGACUUUUGUGACUGAGCGGCGGACGGGUGAGUAACGCGUGGGUAACCUGCCUCAUACAGGGGGAUAACAGUUAGAAAUGGCUGCUAAUACCGCAUAAGACCACAGUACUGCAUGGUACAGUGGUAAAAACUCCGGUGGUAUGAGAUGGACCCGCG